rnacentral:rRNA from 1 species
UGGGGAAUAUUGCACAAUGGGGGGAACCCUGAUGCAGCCAUGCCGCGUGAAUGAAGAAGGCCUUCGGGUUGUAAAGUUCUUUCGGUGACGAGGAAGGUUGAUAGGUUAAUAGCCUAUCAAAUUGACGUUAAUCACAGAAGAAGCACCGGCUAACUCCGUGCUAGCAGCCGCGGUAAUACGGGGGGUGCGAGCGUUAAUCGGAAUAACUGGGCGUAAAGGGCACGCAGGCGGUGACUUAAGUGAGAUGUGAAAGCCCCGAGCUUAACUUGGGAAUUGCAUUUCAUACUGGGUCGCUAGAGUACUUUAGGGAGGGGUAGAAUUCCACGUGUAGCGGUGAAAUGCGUAGAGAUGUGGAGGAAUACCGAAGGCGAAGGCAGCCCCUUGGGAAUGUACUGACGCUCAUGUGCGAAAGCGUGGGGAGCAAACAGGAUUAGAUACCCUGGUAGUCCACGCUGUAAACGAUGUCGAUUUGGGGAUUGGGCUUUGAGCUUGGUGCCCGUAGCUAACGUGAUAAAUCGACCGCCUGGGGAGUACGGCCGCAAGGUUA